CUAGAAGAUGACGAGUGGCGGACGGGUGAGUAAUGCUUGGGAACUUGCCUUUGCGAGGGGGAUAACAGUUGGAAACGACUGCUAAUACCGCAUAAUGUCUUCGGACCAAACGGGGCUUCGGCUCCGGCGCAAAGAGAGGCCCAAGUGAGAUUAGCUAGUUGGUAAGGUAACGGCUUACCAAGGCGACGAUCUCUAGCUGUUCUGAGAGGAAGAUCAGCCACACUGGGACUGAGACACGGCCCAGACUCCUACGGGAGGCAGCAGUGGGGAAUAUUGCACAAUGGGGGAAACCCUGAUGCAGCCAUGCCGCGUGUGUGAAGAAGGCCUUCGGGUUGUAAAGCACUUUCAGUUGUGAGGAAAAGUUAGUAGUUAAUACCUGCUAGCCGUGACGUUAACAACAGAAGAAGCACCGGCUAACUCCGUGCCAGCAGCCGCGGUAAUACGGAGGGUGCGAGCGUUAAUCGGAAUUACUGGGCGUAAAGCGCACGCAGGCGGUUUGUUAAGCUAGAUGUGAAAGCCCCGGGCUCAACCUGGGAUGGUCAUUUAGAACUGGCAGACUAGAGUCUUGGAGAGGGGAGUGGAAUUCCAGGUGUAGCGGUGAAAUGCGUAGAUAUCUGGAGGAACAUCAGUGGCGAAGGCGACUCCCUGGCCAAAGACUGACGCUCAUGUGC
rnacentral:rRNA from 1 species